AUGGAGCACUCCUCUGACAAGGCCUGCUGCUUCCAACUUCUUGAUUUCUUCUGCGAUGAACUCUUGGCGCUCCACUGCCUGCUUCCUGACUCUCUGCUUGACGGGCCGUGCAUGAGGACAGACGGCAAGGUGGUGCUCAAUUACUUUUCUGGGAACACCGGGGAUAUCAGACGGUUGCCAUGCAAACACGUCGACAUUCGCCCGCAGGAAAGCAACGAGCGCGCUUUCCUAUUUGGGGUCAAGAGUGGCGCUGAUGGUGAAGGUACCACCAGCGCCAUCCUCCUUGGCGGACACCUUCUUGGUCUCAGGUGGAGCUGCCAUUGCCUUCUUACACUUGCCAGUGGAGCUCGAUGGUGCGUCCUCGAUGGUAGCGCAGCACUCCGAAGAGGUGCGCUUGCCAGAGUGGGCAUCAGAGCUCUUGCCGGACUUGGUCUUCUUCUUCCCCCCGGGAGCUUCAGCGACAAGUGUCUUGCGUUUUGCUGCGGCUGCUGCUUCCCGGUAGAUCUUGUCGGCAUAGAUAAGAGCAUCCUUCUUGUCGCCAGGGACAGAGAUGACACUUAUCGGGCCUGGCAUUUUCAGUAUGUUGUACGCAUAGUGAGAGGCUGGCAUGAACUUGGCGAGUGCCGGACGGCCAAGGAUUCCAUUGUAAGGUAA
rnacentral:rRNA from 1 species